rnacentral:tRNA from 1 species
GCGGGUGUACGCCACCGGUAGACCGUAGGGCUCAUAACCCGAAAGCACGAGGUUCGAUUCCUCGCCCCGCA